UUUUUCCCAUUUACCUUUAUUUUGACAAUGCAUAAUGAUAUGGCAGUCUAUUGACGAGCCUCUCCAUUUGCAUAGGUUACUACAAUACUACUAACAAACUGUUGAAAACAACAAGUAGCAAUACUUACAAUUAUGACAACUCAAGAAUCUCAUGAAAAGAUACAUAGAUCAUAACCUUAAAAUAUUCGUUCUCCCCUCCCUUUUGCCAACAAUUUGCUUAGAGCUAUGACCACCUUCAACCAAGGUUACAAACCAUUUGGGUUUUCUCGCUCGAAAAGCAACAUAUCCCAUAGCCACUCCAAAAAUGAAUCCAAAUCCAUAACCAAUCAAAACCACUUCCCAUCCAAAUUCGAACUUUGAACCAUCCUCAUUGUGCGAGUUCAUCGAUGGUGGUGGUUGUCGUGGCUCAUUACUGCUGCAAGCUAUAGAGAGUGGAAGUCCACACAAUCCCUUAUUUCCUUCGUAUGAACCAUUUUCAAAAGUGUUGAACUGCUUGCCUUGUGGUAUAGGUCCAACAAGUUGAUUAUUGGAAACGUUGAAGAAGGAAAGAAAUGUCAAAUCUACCAGCUCUCUUGGAAUUUGCCCAUCCAACUUAUUAGACGAAAGAUCUAACCAUUCAAGCUGAGUCAAAUUUCCAAGGGACAGUGGGACAUGAUCAACGAGAUUGUUAUGAGAUAGGUUAAGUCCUCGGAGUGAAUUAAGCUCUCCAAUAACUCUUGGAAUCUCUCCUUCAAAGUUGUUUCCAGAGAGAUCAAUGGUUGUCAAUACAGUUAAAAUCUUAACCAAUUCAAUCUCCAACCCUUUUACGACUAAAGCAACAGAGUAAUCAUACGAGUAAUCAUAUGCAUUAUCUCUUUCCUCCAUGUAACGCACAGCUUUGGCCUUGUCAAGAUUCAUCAUUCCUUUAAAAUUUUUUAUAAAACUGAUUGGUAAAGGACCAAAAAAGUUAUUCUGGGAGAGAUCAAUGAUUCGCAAUUUUGAAAGAGAUUGCGGAUUUUUAGAAGCACCUAUCAAACCUUGGAAUUUAUUGGAAUGUAGUACAAGCACUUGCAACUCUGAUAGUGCUACGAUCCAAUGAGGAAAAGUAUCGUUUAUCUUGUUGUUGCCAAGAUCUAGCACUUCCAAGUCUUUGCAAUUGCUGAUUGAUCGAGUCAGUGGCCCUUCCAAAUGAUUGCUAUUCAAGUUCAGAUUCUUCAGUCCACAUCCUCUUGCAAAUGUUGGGGGAAUGAUUCCAUGGAGCUUAUUCAUCUUCAAAUUCAACGAUGAAAGACUUUUGCUAAAGCUUCCAAUACAUUGUGGGAUGAUUCCACUCAAGUUAUUAUGAGACAAAUCGAGAAUCUCAAGAAAUUUCAUAUUGCAAACACCAGAAAUUUGGCCAUAAAUUUUAUUGUUGGAAAGGUCUAAAACUUUUAAAACUUUUGACCCUUCCAGAAAUUUUGGAAAUUCACUGAUGUUGCAAGACUUUAAAAUCACAUGCUCAAGAUUUGGUAAAAAAAAAUUCACGCUGUUGUUGGAGCUUAUUAGUGAUAGGAUAUUAGAUGAAAGUACAACCAAGGUGAGAUUCAGAAGCUUUGAGAAUAUGUCCCAACUUAUUGUACCGUUUAGACUAUUUGAUGAUAAAUCAAGAAAAGUAAGGUUUACAAGUUUCGAUAUUGAGCUUGGAAUGGUUCCUUGAAAGGUGUUAUUUUUGAAAUUUAUGUAGUCCAAAACACUUUGUUGGAAUUCUUUGAUAUGACCAAUGAACUGGUUGUUUCCAAGAUCUAAAAAAUUUAAACUUGGAUGGGUAUAAAGCCAAGAUGGUGUUGUACCGCUAAGUAAGUUAUCAGAUAAAUCUAGAAAUCCUAGAUUUGGAAAUGCGUUUGGAUUAUCAGGAAUGCAACCCUCUAAUCGGUUAAAAUUAAGAGCAAGAAUUCUCAGUUGUGUGAGGUUUGUAAGUGAAGAUGGUAUCUUACCACUAAAAUUGUUAUAUGAAAGGAAUAAAAAACUAAGGUGAGAUAGAUUUCCUAGUGAUCUUGGAAUUGAUCCAAAAAAGUUAGAUCUAAUGAGACCCAAACCACGUAAAGACUUUAGAUUGCCAAUUGAUUCUGGCAAUUCUCCAGAGAAAGACGUACCAGAUACAAGCAAAUCCUCAAGAGGACUACUCCAAUUGGAGUUUGGAAGCUGACCACUGAGACUAGGAUUGUUAAACAAUGUGAGGUACUUGAUUUUGGGAAGAUUGAAACUGUUCUCUGGAAAUGUUCCACGUAAAUCACAACCAGUGAGACUAACAGAUGUGAGAGAAUAGGAUAGAUUCAUGAAGGAGUUAGGAUCAACGGAUGACAUGUUUAUUCCAUCAAAAGAAAUAUCUCUGACCUCUGUUAGAUUCCGAAAAAUUCCAUUUAGAGUGGAUUGCUCAAGUUUCAGAACUGAUUCAAAUGAUUGAGAGAUAAGAUCAAUAGCUGAAGCGGAUGAAAGAUCCAGGGAAACUAAUUUGGAUAGAUAGGAGAUUUCAUAGGGAACUCGACCGGAAAACCAAGAACGGGAAAGGUCGAGGUGUGUUAAGCUUGCAAAGAGACCAAACUUGGAUGAAAUUUUGGAUUUCUUAAAAUCAUUGACAGAUAAGUCGAGCCUUUGCAAGUGUGAAAGGAGGAAGAGGCUGCUGUUUGAAGGGAGUGUGCCAGAAAGCCAGCUGCAACUUAGGUCAAGGCUGAUUACUUGACCGGUGAUGUUGUCACAAUUGACUCCAUCCCAUAAGCAGCAAUCUAUACUCUCCCUCCAUGAGUUUGUCUUAGGAUAAGAUCUAAUUUCACAAUGUUUGGAAGCAGUUUUGUUGAUGGAGAAGAGGGCUUUGAAUUGGAUCAAGGCAGCACUUUGGUCAUGAGAGCACAAUUGUGUUGCUGAAGAGGAAGAUGAAGAGGAUGGAAGAGUAGCUUGAUAACUUAGAAAUAAUGGGAAGAAAAGUAAUUGAUAGAAGAUUGGCAAGUAUCUCAUCUUGCUACUUCAAGGGUUAUGUAUAAUGUGAUGGUUAAGCGUAGUGAGAAGGCAUUGAUCAUGAAUAUUUAUAAUAAGUCUAGAAGACAUGUUAUGGCAUAGAAUAGAAGAAUGGUUGGCCUCAAAAGUCUUGAGGAAGGAUAACAUUUUGUCUCAUUAACGAAAAGCUAGAAAGGAUUGUUCAGAGAAAUGAAAGUAGACUUUCCGCUGUCUUUCCUACAAUCUUUUCCAUCAAAAAAAAAAGAAAAGAAAAAGAAUAAAUAAAGUGGCUAAAAGGGGAUUCUUCAUACGAGGGCUAUGAUUAUAAUUUUUAUGGAUGGUAGGAAAGGCAAAUUUCCGGAUCCGCACUCUUUCAGAUUGUAUAGAGUUGAGACUAAAGCUCUCUGCCUGUUCCUUCUCGUUGGGCCUCAGCUGUAGGAGACUCAAGUCAAUUGUUCUCAUACACAUUAAUAAAAUAAUAAUAAAAAAGAACUUUAACUUAAAGUCCCAACGACUUUUCUUAACAAAAAUCCCAAUUGUACUUAGGCCAUAGAGGGCCUGUUUUGGAUGGGAAAGGGGGGACAAUGGAGAAAAAAGUGAGAAGGAACAAAAGGCCAGGCCAACCCAAGACCCGAUGGAUUGGCAAGUAAAAAAAAAAGGCCCAAGGAAGUAGGCUUAAGAAAAUUAAGCCUCAAGAGACCAAUGCCCAAUUCAAGUGGGUCUUUUUUGAGGUAAAAAUUCUUUUUGACCUAAUUUUUUUAUAUAGUUAUUUAUUCAUUUCUAUUAUUGUGUUUAUUUUUUAUUUAGAAUUCUAAAUCAUUUAAAUGUCAAAUUAAUGACUAUUUGGUUAAUUCUCUAGGAUAAGGUUUUUCUUUGAAAUAUGUAGUGAUAUAUUUUGAAUUAAUUUUCUUAUGGUUAUAAUUUUUUACUCCAGCAAAGUGUUGGGAGAGUCUCCUAAAACUUUAUUUCAUUAUUAAAAUUAAUUUAAAUAAUCAUUAAUAAUAAAAUAGAGGGUUCAGGGUAAGUAGGAUUCAAUAGAUAUAAAUGGUAAAAAAUAGGAUAAAAAUUAUAAGAGUAAUAGAUAAAUCAACAAAAAUAAUAAUGAAUUAAUAUAUUUUUUAAAAAGGAAGAAGUAUAAAAAAUAAAAAAAUAGUCUAAAAACACAAAAAAAAUUAAAUAAAUAAUAGAAAUAUAUAUUUUUCCAAAAAAAACAAAUAAAAUAAUAAGAUAAAAAAACUUUGCAUAAUCAUCCUUCGUUAUUUAUUGUAUCACAUUCAUUUGGAAAUAUUAAUUCUUGUAAGUAAUGAAAAUUUGCAAUGAUGAUACUUUUUUGAGAAAGUUAUAAAGACAAAUUUCUUAAAAAAUUCUCUAGGUGAGAAAAUAUUUCUCAAGCCUUGAGAGCUUUUAGAAAAGUUUGUGACACAAAAAUUUUUAUUUAAUAUUUAAUAAAAUUAGAAAAUUGCAUCAUUCAUUACAUGUUUGCAUCAUACGCAUAAAAAAAUUUAAUUCAGCCCAUAAAUGAAAAUCUUUGACAAUGAGAUUUUUAAGGAAAAUUAUGCAAACACAUUCCUUAAAGAUUCCCUAUAUGAGGAAAUACUUCUAAAUUAUAUCAAAUUGUUGGGAAAAUUUAAAAGAGUUUCCAAUAUAAUAGAUUUCAUUUAUUUAAUAAAAUCAAUAAAAAUAUAUUUUGGAGAUAAUGAGAACAAUAAUGGUGAAAUAAUAAUACAAAUUAAUAAAUGAAAAGAAAAACACAAAGUUCAAAAUCAAGACUUUCUUCUCUCUCUAUAAACCGAAUGUAUCUUAUGACAAAGCCUACUCAAGAAAAUAAGUUUGUUUUCUUGAAUACUAUUGAAUUGAAGAAAUUUUCUGAAGUCUCACCAGAAUGUUGGGAAAGCAUAGGAAAAUGCUCCAAUAAUAAUGUAUAAAAAAAUGAAAGAGAAAGACAAAAUAAAUAAAUAAGGGAAACAUAAGCAAACAUGAAAUUCAAGACUAUUAAUUAAAGUUAAAAGGAGACAAUACAUUAUGAUUAGUACCGUUCUUUGAAUGGGUAUUGCAAGGGUAUUAAUACUUUCCUUAUACGUAACCAUAUUCUAGAAUCUUAAAAACUGUUUUGUAGAUCAGAAACUUUUUUUUAAAAAUAACUUAAAUCAAGUUUAUAUUUAUUCAUUCAUGACUUUGGCUGUCGGUUUUUUGUUCAUUGAAAAUGGGCUCGUGGAGCAAAGCAAUUUCAGGAAUGUAAAGCUUUGCCGAAUAUGCAAGGGGCUUUGAUGACUGGGUUUGGAGUGUCGAAUGAUGCUCCAUUUUCUGCUGAAAAUUUGAGUAGUGCAAUGGUUCUGUUGAUAUGUUUUUAUUGUUGUACUAAUGUUGUUUGAAGUGAACCUGGUUUUGAGAACUUAUGAAUAGUGGGUUUUUGUGUUUUAUAGGACUGGUUGAUAGGCUAAGGACUUUGUUGAUGUAAGUCUUCCAAGUUAAGGCUUCUAUUUUUGUUGUUAGUUUGUUUUUGUAUAAGGUAGGGAAAUGAUAGCAUUGUUAGUUUCUUUUUCUGCAAUAAAUGUGGAAUUUUUAUUUAUAAUUCAAUAACAACAAUUGUCAUAUCUAAUAAAAGCCUAAGAUCUACCACAAGAAAAUUAUAGAUAAAAGAUACACGUACCUUAAAAACAAUUCAAGUAUCUCAACUUCAAAACAGAUUAAAUUUUAGAUCAAGAUUCAAGAACCUCAAAAACGAUUCAAGUGUUUUGCCUCUAAAAAGAUUUACGCUUCUUCUUUUUUUACAGUUCUCUAUUUUCUAAAAACUGUUACUAAAUAAUUCUGAUGGCCAACUAAGUAACAACCAUUACUUUUAUAGAUAUACUAAUAGACGUGGAUCCAUUAGACCUAAUCAUAGUCCAAUAAGACUUAUAUAUAAAACUCGAAAGAAGAAUAUGCGUGAGAUCCUUAAAAAUCUCUCUUUACAGCUAUAGGCCCAAGUCCUUGUCAACUCAUAACUCAUAUUUUAGUUGGAAUUUCAUUGAAUUUAAUAUUAUUAUUUAUUUUCUUAAAUUAAUCAAGAAAUCUUAUUUACCUAUUUGUUGCAAUAAUGUCCAUCAAUAUAUUGCAAUUGACCUCUACAGAGAAAAGAAUUAUCAAUGAGAUCCCUUUCAUUAUAAUCUUUACUAAUCAGUCCUUUCACCAUACCAUAUUCUUCAUGGGCUUUAUGGAUAAAAAAUUUUCUUUAUUACAUUCAAUCCAUGUAAUACCAAUUCAUGACUUUCAUUCCUAUUGGACUUUAAAAAAAUAUUUUUUUUUUGCAAAAAUACACUAUUAUACAAUAUUAAUAUAAAUAAUAUAUUUCUAAAACAUCUUUUAGAAAACAUACUGGCCGAAUUUUUUGAGUCCAACAAUCUUAUAAAAAUAGCUUGAAUAUUUUUCUCAAUAUAGAAUGGUGAAUCCUUUAUUAAGUAUCCAAUAUAACUUAUUUAGUAUGUACAUAACGCAACAUAGCAAGGUAUAGCCUUAAAUUCAAUAUCACAUAUUGGUAACAUCAAAGUCAUAUAUAUACUAAAUAAAUUUUAUUGACCUCUCAAGUUUAAGGAUAAUAAAUAAAUUGUAAUAGAGCUAUUUUUUAAUUAUUGAUAGUGACAAACUUAUAUGGAGCUCUUUAAUUGGAUCAUGUUCAAUGAAUGUAUCUCAUAUACUACACCUACUUGUUUGCUUUAAGGUCACUACCUCAAUGUUAGAGUUAAAACAUUCUGUCAUUAUUUAUAGAGCCAUAAUAAGUGUAGGCUUUAAAUAGUUUGUCACAUUUAGCCUAUAACAAUUUUGGCAAAUAAGGAACUAAAGAAUUAUAACUCCUUACUUAACAGUUCAUCAAAUAUUAGCAUAGUUUUUCUACAAUGUUAUCAAAUAAUUUACUAUCAUAUCAUAUAUGUCAUAAAUAAAUAAAAUACCUAUUAAAAUAUAAUAUAUAUGAAAUCAGUAAUUGAUGUAGCAAUUUAUCUAUCUAAUAAAUAAAUAAUAAAGUUAGUUUUUAACGGCAUAUGUCCAACAAGCAUGUUGCCAAUGGCUUAUGGUGCAGCCAAAUCUUUUGUUAGUGCUCUGUACUCUUACCCACACUAGUCACUUCAUGCCACCAAAAGUCUUCUGUCAAACAAGUUAAAGACUUAUCAUGGCAUAAUUGGUAAUGGAUGAAUAACUAAAUGUUUUUUUAAAAAAAUUUAUGAUCUAAUUAAAAAGUAGAUUCAAUUAAGUGACCAAAGUGAAACAAAAGAAUUAGUAAUUAAUUUAUUUCAAAUAAAAUGAUCGGAUUUCUAGAUCCACACGUUACGACAGAAUCAAUUCAUCAUGUUCUUUUUUGAAAUUAUAUUGAAAAUAUAUUUAUUAUUUGAUCAAAAGGAAUGUCAUUUUCAAACUUUCUUUUACUAGUAUUUUCGUGAUUAACUUACUUUAUGAGUUGAAUGGUUUCUAAUGGACUAUAUGCGUAUAAGUUAUCUGUAAGUUAGAUUUAUAAUCUACAAUCUAUUAAUUAUAUGUGUAAUGCAAUUUGUCUGAAAGCAACUGAAAGUCAGUGUUUCCUGUUAGAAUAUAUGACGAUGCAUAGCUAGAAAAGGAAAACAUUAUAGCACUUAAAUCUUGUAAUCAAAAUAUUCAAGCCAUAUUUAACUAUGCUUUGUGUGAAUAGACAUUUGAAGUAAAAAAAAAAUCUUUAGUUUUUAUUAAAUUAAUUAGUAGAAGAUAUUAUACAAAUAUUAUUACUUGAAGAUACCAAUGACAUUAUCUGUUCUUAUGAUCAUUAAAUUGUAGUUAAAAUGCAGAUAAGUAUUGUUCUAGUCCUCCAAGUAAAUGAAGUCUACUUCCCUUUUGAAUUGAGCACAAAUAUUAACUAGAGACUUCUUUGCUCAGAAAGGGAAUUUUCAAGAAAAUUGGAAAUGUUGAAGAUGUCCAUCAUGCUUCAAUUCUAGUUGGUAAUUUAAUUCUCAAUUCGUCCAAAAGGAAUUAACUAUUAAUUAUGGUGUAUAAUUUAGUUGUCAGUUGAUCUAAAAAGCAAUUUAAAGUCUCUGUUUCCUGUAGAAAAUAUAAUAAUGCAUAGCCAAAGAUAAAAAUAGCAUUAUCUAUUCUUAUGAUAAUUAAUAUUGUAGUUAAAUUAUACAAAUUGACAUCUUUUUUUAUAUUUUAUUUAUUAAUGUCCUCUUUAAUUAGCAUCAGCAUGGUAAAACCAUAGACGUUUUGGACGAGGUUCGAGUGGCUUUAUUCUAAAUGCCUCCUAUGAAGGCUCUAAGGCGAGAUGGUUUGCCAACAAUCUUCUAUCAAAAAUCUUGGAAGAAAAUUGGUAGCAGUGUUCAUACGUUGGUGGUUGAUUUUUUGUUGGGAAGAUUAUAUGCGUAGGUGAUAAGUCACACAUACAUAGUCCUUCUUCUGAAGGUCUCACAGUUUGAGUUAGUAAGUCAAUACCGCCUUAUAAGCCUCUGCAAUGUUAUAUAUAAAAUUGCAUUAAAGGUACUUACUAACAGGUUGAAACCUAUUUUGCCUAUUAUUAUUUCUGAUAAUAAGAGUGCAUUUGUUCUUGGGAGACUAAUCUUUGAUAAUGUCAUUGUUGCAUAUGAGAUAAUACAUUAUUUACAUAAUAAGCAAUUGGGUAAGAUUGGUAAUUUUGUAAUCAACCUUGAUAUAAGUAAGGCUUAUGACAAGGUGGAAUGGGUCUUUGUACAAGCCAUCUUGGAAAAGCUGGGUUUCUCAGAUAUGUUUAUUGAGAUGAUAAUGAGAUGCAUUACUUCAGUUACCUAUUUUGCUCUUGUUAAUGGUGGACCAGGGAACAAGUUUACACCUUCAAGGGGUUUGAGGCAAGGUGAUCCACUAUCGCCUUUCUUAUUUGGUAUGGUAAUGGAAGCCCUCUCCAGUUUAUUAAUGAAUGCAACAGUUAGCAGGAGUAUCUCUGAAAUCAAAAUUUGCAAAGAAGCCCAAUUGUUACCAAUUUGUUUUCGUAGAUGACAGCAUGAUCUUUGGGAAAGCCCAAGGCUAGGAAUCUCAAGUUCUUAAGGAGAUCUUUGUAAGAUAUGAAGCUGUUUCUAGUCAGAAAAUUAACUUUGAGAAAUCUGUUGUGUUGUUCAGCAGGAAUAGUGGUGAUUAUGAGAAGGUAGAAAUUUGCCGAAUCCUAGGAAUCAAUAAUGGCAAUUGGGGUAGGAUAUAUCUUGGCAUGCCAUUGGUUAAUGGGUGUUCCAAGCGACAAAUCUUUAGUAAAAUGAAGGAAAAGGUGUUGAAGAAAAUCUUAAAUUGGAAGAACAAGCUGAUUUCCAUUACUGGGCGUGCAUGUUGAUCAAAGUGGUGGCUUAGGCGAUUUCUACCUAUGUGAUGAGUAGCUUCAAAAUGCCUGACUCUUUUUGUAGUGAGAUAGAUUCGGCAAUUGCAAAAUUUCGGUGCGGUGGUACAAAAAAUGCAGCAAAAAUUCACUGGAAAAGUUGGAAUUCUAUGUGUAUCUCAAAACACUAUACUGAUAUGGGGUUUGGGAUGCAAAGAAAUUCAAUUUGACUGUGCUAUCAAAACAAGGUUGGAGGUAAGAAAAAGGUACUACCCUUGCUUAUAAAAUGCUUAAGGCAUGUUACUUUUCUUGUGUUGGUUUAUGGAUGCCCCAAUAAAAUCCAAUUCUAGUUAUCUCUGGCAUAGUAUCAAGAAAAGUCAAUUUGUCCUUUAAAAAGGUUUGGUGAGGCGAUGGUAAUAAUAUCAUGGUGCAUGCUGACAAAUGGAUAAUACCAUAUGAGACUCCUAGGAAUGUGGUAGUUUGUAAUGAUGAGGUUGGCGAUAACAUGGUUGUGGGUGAAUUAAUUGAUGCAGAUACGAUGACUUGGGACAAAGAGAGAUUGAGUUUGUAUUUUCCACGAUAUGAGUGCAGCCUUAUGUUAUCCAUAUUGCUUAGCUUUAGAAGACUAAAUGAUUACCAAAUUUGGUUUAGCAAUAAGUACAGUGAGUAUACGGUGAAAUCGGGGCAUUGGAUGCUAAGCUUUCCUAUGGGAAAUCCAGGGGUGGGUAGCUCAUCAUCAGGUAUACAAGGAAUUUGGAAAAAAUUGUGGACGCUAGGUGUUCUGCGGAAAUUAAUUUUGUUUGCAUGGAGACUGUUUAAGGAAGGUCUCAUACAAAGAAGGAUUAAUGUGGAACUUUGUGCACUUUGUGGAGUGGAAUUAGAAAUUCUUUUCCAUUGUCUUGGUGCUUGUCAAUUUGCUCGGGCUGUCUUGGUAUAGUCAAAGUGGGACUUACGUGAUUUAUGCUAUCACUUUGGGUCAAUUAUAGAAUUUUAUCAAGUGGUCUGUGAUCAGUUCGACAAAGAAAAUGUUGAAGAGGUUGUGGGAAUUUUAUCAGUUGUAUGGAACGCUAGAAACGCGCUCAUAUUCAAACAACAAAAUAUGGAUCCAAUGAUGGUGGUAGAGAUGGGCAUGGGUAGAGUGCGACAAUAUCAAUUAGCUAACACCGAUUCGACAAGGAGCGAAGUUUGGAGAGAAGAAGAUUUUGUAUAUGGGCUCGCCUCAAUGGUUUGAAAAUGAAUUCAGAUGUUGCAAUUUUUGAAGUAAAUGGCAUGAAAAUGGUGAGUGCCUGUUUCAUGGUUGAAAGUGAAGCAGGGACGAUGCAAUUAGCAGGGGUUAAAAAAUUCAGGUGUGGAUCCUUAGUGGUUGAAGCCAAAUUGAAUGCAUUAGCUUGGUCUUUAUAUGUGUGCUGUCAAGAGAACUCAGCUGUAAAAGAGGUAGAGCUGGACAAAAGUGUGGCUGUUGGCUGGCUGCGAGAGAAGAAUUACAAAGGUGGUGCAAGGAACAUUGUUGAGGACUGCUGCCUACUCAUGGAGCAACUAAGGUGCAUUGGUGCAUCACAUUGUACUAGGGAAUCUAAUCGCUCUGCUCAUUCAGUUGCCCAACUGGGAAGGAAGUUGCAGCAUGAGAAUGAUCAACUUAUAUGGACAAGUUUGGAGGCUUUGCCAGAACAAAUCCUUAGUGUCUUAAGGCAAGAUUGGAUUGGGUUACAAAAAGCAGAAGAUGGGUAAUGAUUGUAGAUUUUUAAGAUUAUAGCAAUACAUGUUUUUUAGAGUGCUCUUUUCCUUAUCCUUUGUUUUUUCCCAUUGGGUUUUUCCUUGGAAAGGUUUUUAACAAGGCUCAAAAAUCAUGUAUUAGGGUCGUAACGAAGUUUAUUGGGUGGAGAAAUUUUAUACUGUUAUAUUGGUUAUUCCUUACAUGUACUGUUUCUUGAUGAUUAAUGAAAUUUAUCUUUCUUCAAAAAAAAAAAAAACUAUAGGCUUUUUUGUUCAACGAGGGAUUUUUCAAGAAAAUACUGUUCUUUUUCUACUGCUGGCUAGACUAAAUUAGGGAUGAUGAAGUGAAAAAAAAAAAGAAGAAGCAAAAUUCUGUUUUCAGCUUAAUAAUUUAGAAUUUUAUUGAAUGAAUCUAAGUCAACCAAAUUCUUUUUAACUAAAGUGAAAAAGUUUUUACUACGAAAGGAUAAUUAAAAUGAUUGCCUCUUAAAAUUUUAAUAUUUUGAACUUAUAUGGAAAGCCUAUUCAAGUUUUUAGAAAAGUUAUAAAUAAAAAAUUUCUUCAAGAAGUAAUAAUGUAUAGUAACAAAUAUAGUGUAAGAUCCUUUUAUAUUCUCACUUUAUUUUUCGAUAAAUCAUAAAAUUAUAAGGAGAAUAUUUUUUUUCAUUCAUCUUUUUAUUUGAUCUAAUUCUUGUCUCUCAAUUUCAUUUAGUUUUUUAUGUAUAAUUAACAAAAAAUAAUUCGAUAUAUUUUUUUACAUUAAAACUUAUGAUUGAUGAACAUAAUUAUAUGAAAUAAUUUUUUACAUAAUACAUGAGAUAAUACAUUAUUUACAUAAUGAGGAGUUGGGUAUGACUGGUAAUUUUAUAAUCAACUUGAUAUGAGUAAGGCUUAUGACAAGGUGGAAUAGGUCUUUGUACGAGCCAUCUUGGAAAAACUGGGUUUCUCAUGUAUGUUUAUUGAGAUGAUAAUGUGUCAAGCCCGACCUUAUAAAAUACUUUCCAUGUCAUUCAUAUGAUUGACAAUAUGCUUGCAUACUUGGAAAGCCCCGAAAGAAAAAUCGUUAAAAGACGACAAUGUACCAAAUGGUACAAUUAAGUUAAUUUAAGCCUCGAAUUAGAUUAAAUAGAGAAUUUAAAAUGAAAUUAAGAAUAUUAAACUCCCAGAAUGGUUUAAUAUGGUGAUUUGGAGUUCGAAGAUCAAUUUGGAGUCAAACCGAAAUUUUUACUGUCUAGGGGCAAAAUGAUCAUUUGCCUACCUAGGGACACAACGAGAAUUUUUAGAAAAUAAUUUUUUUAUUUUUUUUUGGCCCCAUUUGACUUAUUGGAGUAUAAUUUGAGGGUUUGGCAGUGAAAAAGUUUAAUUUCGGUGAUUUAUAGAGUGUAGGGUAAAAAUCGUAAUUUUACCACCCGUAGAAAAAUUUUCAGAUUUUGAGAGAAUUUAGAUCAAAUUUGACAAAUUGGAGAAUGGUAUGAGUAUAAGGGAUGAAAAAUAUGUCUAUGGGCAAUUUUUUAGUUUUUGGGGUAAAAAUGUAAUUUUUGACUUUUAUGGGGGCAAAAGUGUAAAUUGUAAAAAUUACUCCACCAAGACUUUGGAUAAGUCUGAGAAUUUUAUCUAAGCUAUGGAUAUGUGGGACAAGUGUAUGGUGAAAUUUUGGAAACAAAUGGAUGGCUAGAAUUUAAGGAAUUAAUAAAACAUUAAAAAAAUAAUAAAAUAAUAUUAUAUUAUUUUAGCCUUUAAAAAGGUAAAAAUUCCAGAAUUCUCAUCUUCUUCAGCUGUCCAAACCAGGGGAGAAAAGGGGGAAAAAAACAAAUAAGAACCCUACCUGAAAAUUUGGGGAAAAUCAAGAGAAAUCAAGAAAUCAAGCAUUGAAAAGGUAAAUUUCAUUGAUUUUCCUUGUGAUUUUCACUACCCAUGCAUUUUUUCCCCAUUUCCAUGCAAAAUUAGAAAGUGGGUAUGGACACCCAUGCUGGCCAAACCUCCAUGGAUGAGUUUUGAGCUUGAUUUUUGGUUGAUUUUAAUUGAAUUAAGUGAUUUUAGUUAAGUUAUAUUGAAAUAUAGCAAAAAUAAGCUAGAGAUAUAAUUUUCUCCCAUUGAAACCCAUUAUGCCGAAUUUUCUAGGGGAAUAUUGGCUGCUGAUCUUGAUGUUUAUUUGAGGAAUUAUGAUGAAUAAUGAUGAAUUAUGAGCCUAGAAAAAUAAUGGGAAUUUUCGGAGCAAAAAUAUGAAUUUUUACCCACUAGGGGUAUUUUCGUAAUUUGCUAUCGAGACUGAUAAUUUGCACCACACUGAGGGACAUUAAGUCAAUUUGGGUGCAAUUGAGGUAUAGAAACUGAAAAAAAUUAAUUUGGAGUUUAAACGGACGCGUAUAUCGAUUUAUCGGGUAAAAGACCGAAAUAGGCUAACACCGCAUUUAGGCAAAAAUUUAGACAUUUUUGCAUUCCAUAUCAAGCAUUAGUAGUCUAAAUUAGUUUAAUUUCAAUUUAGUACCAAUGUGGUGAAUUUCUCGAUUUUGUACUGUGUCAAGGUGGUGAGUCCUCCGAUAAAGGCAAGGGAAUUGCACCCGAGGACCAAUAGUCUGAGUAUUUCGAAAAUCCCCACUCUAGACACGGUGAGUAACCUUACCAUCAUUUUAAUUAUCUAAAGUAUGUUUUUAUUCGGUUUUGGUGAAUUUUAUGAAAAUGAGUUCAAAUGGUAAAUUUUUAUGUUUUGUAAACAAAAUGAGUUUAAAUGAAAAUAUUUUAUAAAUUGUCUUGAAACGAAAUAACGAUUUUGAAAAUAGAGUAAUUGGAGACCACUGAUAUGUUGUAAAUUUAAAAUUGAAUUAAUGGCUUAUGUUAUUGUAUUGGCAUGACUGGCUGGGCUGUGUUUUUUAUGAAUUGUAUGAAUUGCUUUAUUUUACCCUUGCAGGCUGGGUAGUAAUAUAUUAGCCCUGUCAUGCUGUCAAAAUUUUAUUGUAUGGUGGGUUUGACCUGCUGCAGUGGGCUGGAUUCUGUGGACUAGCCUAUUAGAGGGGCACGGAAUCCUGUUAUAUUUUUACCUCGGUUGGAGAGGCGAGUAGGGUAACUCCUGAGGUAUAACUUUUAGAGUUCACUUCACGCCAAACCACCUCGUGAAGGGGAACUCGGCCAACGUCAAGGAAUGGCUAUGUUUUCAAAAUAAAAACAUGACUUUCUAAUAGCCUUGGCGGACUCAGUUGGGAUAGCCCUCGGCCAAGGUAUCCCAAAUAACUGAGUAUGAUAAUAAUUUUUGGCAUGAGCCAAGCUUUUUAAGAAAUUCAUAAGCCAUACUGAUUACUUGCUUUAAAUAAAUUGAUUUCAUUUGGUUGAAAUAAGUUGAAAGAUGAUAAAUUACAGUUUGAUGAAAUGUUUUAAUAGUCUCCUUUUACUCGACUUUAGAUAUUUUGAGUGAUGUUUGUUUACUCACUGGGAUUUUAUAAUCUCACCACCCUCAUUUCCACCCAUUUCAGGCUCAGAAUAGAUUGUAGAUAACUGAUAUCGGCGAGGAUUACAGUUGAACUUGCCACAUCCAAAGACUGUAGGUUCAUUUCUUUUGAUACUUUUGGUCAUUCGUGGGCCCACGUGUCACUGUAAAUUAAAUUCUAUACUUUGGUUAUCUGUAUUACGGUAUGUAAGAAUUUAUUUUGCUUUUACGCUAUAAAAAUUAUUUAUGCAGUGUUCUUAAAAUAUCGUUUUAUGUGAAAAUUGAAUAUUUUAUUGAAUAUUUUUAUUUUAUUAUAACAGUCAUAAUUCCAUUUUAAACGAAUGUUUUAGACAUCCAAAAUUAUUUUUGAUUAAGAAAUAUGUGUUUUCCACUUACAUACUAUAUUUUUAGAUGAUUUUUGAGAUUUUUGGGAUAAAUGACAAAAAUACCCCUGUGAGACGGAAAUUAUUAUUUCAUUUGUUUAAGUUGGAAACAGUUUAAAAUCUUUUAAAAUGUGGUAUUUGGAAACAGUUACCCACAGGGGAAAUGAGAAGCUGAUAUUAAAGCCUUGCGGGGUCUCGGUUGACAUUCUGGGUAAUGAAUGUAAAUUGAGACGUCGCGGCGGUUGUCACGGGCUCGAUGGGAGUUCCGGGUCGUGACAAUUAAGUUGGUAUCAGAGCUGUUGGUUUGAAAGAUUAGAGUUUUGGGUUUAAAGUUAUUUUAAAGCUGUUUUAAAAAUUUACAGUGUCAGUGUGGCCCCGAGUUAAGUUAGGUUAGGUUGAAUAAAAUACAUGCAUAAGCAUAUAGAGCCUGAGGUUGCCUAAACUCACUUUGUUCCCUCUUAUAGAUUAUUAUGUCUCCUCGACGCGAACAACCACCUUUCACUAGAUCAGCUGGGAGGGGAAGAGGUCGUUUCCAACGUCGUCAGUUAGGUGCAAUAGAGGAGGAAUUGACUGCAUCCACCAUUCGGGCAGCACCUGCUGCUGAACAAACCAAGACUCCUCCACAUCCUCCACCUCCUCUACCACUUACUAGUAUUCCUGCUAUGCCUCUUGAGGCAGUUCAGGCAUUAGCAGCCUUCUUUACUGCUAUUGCUGGCCAGGCUCAAGCUGGUCAAGCUCUUCCUACAGUUCCUCUGGCUGCUCCUUCAGUACCACCAUCCCCACCUCCUGUCCCACCACCAGUGCUGGAUGUUUCUGAUUCUAAGAAGCUUAAAGAGGCUAGGCAACAUAGUUGUGUUUCUUUUAUGGGUGAGUCGGACGCAACCGUGGCUAAAGAGGUGGUGCGAAUGGCUUUAAGAGCCGAGAAGCUUGCGAAUGAAAAUAAGAGUCUGCGAGCUGAGUUAGCAAAAAGGAGAAAUCUAAGUGUAUCUUCUAGUCAGCCACCAAACAGGGGCAAAAACUCCUCUGUUUCAGGAAGUUCACGUAGAUGCAGAAAUUGUGGGAAUUAUCAUGUUGGGCCGUGCAGAGGGCCUGCACGAUGUUUUCAUUGUGAUCAACUGGGUCACAUUAGGAGAGAUUGUCCACAGUUAGGACGGGCUACGGUAGCUGCUCCAUCUCCACCAGCUCAUACGGAUAUACAGAGGAGAGAUUCCUCUGGAUUGCAACCGAGACAGGGAUGAUUUUGACAUACCACCAAGGGUAGAUUAAAUAAGUUGAAAUUAGUGCUCUAAUAAAGUACGUAUGAUAGAAAGCUAGUUUGUAAGUUGUAGUUUUCAUGCUCAUGAAAUAUAUAAAGAUUAUCAAUAUAUGGACAUACAUUUGGAGUUGUAAUUUACAAGUUUGAAGUAUUUAAGAUAUGAUUAAAUGGAAUUAGCAUUAGUUAGGGUACGUAAAUCUUUUAAUUAAUUUCUAUGGAGUAUGCAUGAUAGUAGAAUGGAGGAACAUAGUGCAGUGAUGCUAUAUGGUGAAAUCACUAUACAAUAUGGAAAGGGUAUUUUCGAGUGGGAUUUAUUGACUGAUGAUAAGUGAUGAGCAAUUUGAGAUACAUGUAGCUAUGAAUAAAUUUGGAGAUUUUUGCUUAAGCAAACUUGUAUUAAAUGUUAUGGUAAAGAUAUAUGAAUGCUAGUGGCAAAAUAAAUACGUUAAAUCAAUGUUUUGAUCGCACACUUGUGAUAGAAAGUUAGUCUUGCUAAUUGUGGUAUAGACUCGAAGGGAAGCCACACGAUUGUGAAUAAUUGAGGUAGUAGCUUUAAAGGUGGAAGAGUUGCUAAGAUAAAGUGAAUUCAAACCGUUGCAACGCCACAGUUCUGACUAUUAAACGCUGUCACGUUAAGAACCCCUAAUGGCUAGAAAGCAGAGCAAAUUGAGAGUGGCAUGAAGAUGAAACACACGAGUUGAAGAAUGGUCAUUGGUUUUCAUGCUAAGCUUUGUUGUUUGGAGUCUUAAGUGCAUUGGGAGGUAUUAAGAUAAAGAUGAUGAGUGAAAUUGCAAAGUUUUUUUUUUUUUUUUUUAUUAUUGCCUUAUAUAUAUUGGCAUGUAAGAGAAAGAAAAGUUAGAGAAUUUUUGAGAUGGCUACAUAAAAAUAAAUUAACAUGUGGAGUGUUAAGAUGAAUAAUAUGAUGACUGAAGUCAAAUCUUAAGAAAUAAAGAAGACAAGAGAUUAAGUCUUGUUAAAGACUAAAGAGGAAGCGAGCGAAAGGUUAGAUGAAUGUAUGAGAUACUGAUAAGAGAUGUCAAUAGCAAGUGAGGAAAAUGUAAAUAAAGAUUUCAAUAAUGAUAUAGCAAAUGAGUUUAUAUAGAAUAUUGUUAUGAGAAUAUACUGAUCUUGUCUUGACCUUGUUGAAAGGAAAGGAUUAGUAACAACACAAGUAAACUAGGUGACAUGCUAGAAACCCAUGGAGAUAAAUUGAAGCAUGAGUAGUUGGGCAUGCCUUUAUGGAAAUGAUAUACUUGGUGUAUAAAAGAGUAAAUAAGUGAUUAAGUGUUUCAAGAAUGUUUAAACGCCCUUGAGAAAGAAUUAUAAGUUAUACAUGAUGAGCAUAAGAUGCGUGACUUUGAAACUUGCUAAGGAGCCAAAUGGCUAAGUUACGGGUUAAAUGAUCAUAUGUUGUGAGACAUAAAUUUAAAAUAAAUAUCCCUAAGGAAAUACUCAAGAGAAGUUCUGCCAUGGAUCUUGUGAAAGCAAGCACUAAGUUAUGUAGUUAUAAAAAGGAAGCUAUAAGCUGAGAGUGGUAUAAGUAUUAACAUUAAAAAGUACUUGAGGAGAAUUUAGUUUCAAGUCUUGUAAUUUCAAGUACAAUUUGUAAAUUAGUUAAGGAAGAAUGAUGUUAUAUUCAUAUGAAAGAGUGGAAUAAAGGAUGAUAGAAGUUAACCUUGAUAAUGAAGUCAGAUAAUGAAACUUUCUUAAUAUAUUAUGGGAAUUGGAAUUCGAAAAUGCGUGAGGCAUACAUGAUUCAAAUGAAUCUGAGUUUUAAGUGACAAAUCAAUAUCGAAAUGCAAUAAGGAUACAAUAUAUAGGAGACAUGAAGGAUAAUCGAGGAAUAAGGAUGACUUUUAGGAAUUGUAGUAUUGCAUAAGAUGCAAUGAUCAAGUCAAGAUAAAUUUUUGAGAUACCAAUGGGAUUAUAAAACAUACACGCAUAAUAGAUUAUAAUUCAAUGGAGAUGACAUUGUGAUGCAAUGAUAUACAGUACAAGGAAACUUAAGCAUAUAAUUGGAAAUGAUAAGAAGAGAAUAUAAGUAUAUAAAUGAUGAGGAACUAUGCACAGGCAUGAUGAGAAUUUGUAUGAAUUAUGAAGAUUAUUCUAUUGAAUCUUGAUUGUGGAUGGGAAUGAAUUAAGAGAAAUUAGUCUGAAGGCAUUUGAAAACAGAGACUCGUAUACAUAAUGAGGAAUAUAGACAUUUGAAUGUACAUGUAUAUGUAUGUGUGGAGUAGUGAUGUACCCAACUAAAAUGAAUAAUGGUUUUAGUGGUUCGAGAUUUGAACUCAAUAUAUUUGAUGAGUUGUAUAGAUAAUGUAACGAUUAAGAAUCUUAUCAGAAGACGAUUUAUGGUGACCUAAGGAAUUUUGGAGAAAUAGUUAAGGGAAUAUAAUCUAUAGUACGAUUAAGCCAUAUGAGAUGGAUUAAUAGGAUUAAGAAGAUUGAAAUUUCCUAAAUGCAAAGUAAACAUGAAAUAUGUAGAAAUAAUUAAAGCCAUUAAUUUUCCCGAACGCUGAGGAUAUGUACAGGAAUGAGUAUGGCGUGUUAAUGAUAUUGUAAACUACACAAUAGUGUAUGAGGAUAGGAUGAAUGAAUGAAAGUCGAGAAGUUUGAUAUGGAAUGAAGUAAUAAGAUAGUGAUUGGUAUACCUAAAUAAGAAUAAAAUGCGAUCGAAAUUGGUAUGAUUGAGAUGGAGUUAUGGUUCAAGCUUAAUGAUAGUAAUAGAAGCAUGCUUGGUGUCUCGAUAUAAGAGAUCAUAAUUGUGAAGGUUAUUGUUGAUCUGAUUUUAAAGGAUAAUAAUAGACAUAAGCGAAGUACUUGAGUUGAAUUGGAGGUAAAUGAGGUGAACAAAUCGAAAUUCCCUAUAAAGGGGAGGACAUAAGAAGUCGAGCAUUAGAUGAGAAAACAAUACCCCCACAUUUUCUCUGAGUUCAGUACAUGAAAUUUUGAGGUCAAAAUUUUAUUUUAAGGGGGGUAGUGUUGUCAAGCCCGACCUUAUAAAAUACUUUCCAUGUCAUUCAUAUGAUUGACAAUAUGCUUGCAUACUUGGAAAGCCCUGAAAGAAAAAUCGUUAAAAGACGACAAUGUACCAAAUGGUACAAUUAAGUUAAUUUAAGUCUCGAACUAGAUCAAAUAGAGAAUUUAAAAUGAAAUUAAGAAUAUUAAAGUCCCAGAAUGGUUUAAUAUGGUGAUUUGGAGUUCGAGGAUCAAUUUGAAGUCAAACUAGAAUUUUUACUGUCCAGGGGCAAAAUGGUCAUUUGCCACCCAAGGACACAAUGGGAAUUUUUAGAAAAGAAUUUUUUUAGCCCCAUUUGACUUAUUGGAGUAUGAUUUGAGUAUUGGAGUAUAAUUUGAGGGUUUGGCAGUGAAAAAGUUUAAUUCCAGUGAUUUCUAGAGUGUAGGGGCAAAAUCGUAAUUUUGCCACCCGCGGACAAAAUUUGAGAUUUUGAGAGAAUUUAGAUCAAAUUUGACAAAUUGGAGAAUGGUAUGAGUAUAAGGGAUGAAAAAUAUGUCUAUGGGCAAUUUUUCAAUUUUUGGGGCAAAAAUGUAAUUUUUGACUUUUACGGGGGUAAAAGUGUAAAUUUCAAAAAUUACUCCACCAAGACUUUGGAUAAGUCUGAGAAUUUUAUCUAAGCUAUGGAUAUGUGGGACAAGUGUAUGGUGAAAAUUUGGAAACAAAUGGAUGGCUAGAAUUUAAGGAAUUAAUAAAACAUUAAAAAAAUGAAUAAAAUAAUAUUAUAUUAUUUUAGCCUUUAAAAAGGUAAAAAUUCCGGAAUUCUCAUCUUCUUCAGCUGUCCAAACCAGGGGAGAAAAGGGGAAAAAAAAAAAAAAAAUCCUACCUGAAAAAUUUGGAGAAAAUCAAGAGAAAUCAAGAAAUCAAGCAUUAAAAAGGUAAAUUUCAUUGAUUUUCCUUGUGAUUUUCACUACCCAUGCAUUUUUUUCUCAUUUCCAUGCAAAAUUAGAAAGUGGGUAUGGACACCCAUGCUGGCCAAACCUCCAUGGAUGAGUUUUGAGCUUGAUUUUUGGUUGAUUUUAAUUGAAUUAAGUGAUUUUAGUUAAGUUAUAUUGAAAUAUAGCAAAAAUAAGCUAGAAAUAUAAUUUUCUCCCAUUGAAACCCAUUAUGCUGAAUUUUCUAGGGGAAUAUUGGCUGCUGAUCUUGAUGGUUAUUUGAGGAAUUAUGAUGAAUAAUGAUGAAUUAUGAGCCUAGAAAAAUAAUGGAAAUUUUCGGAGCAAAAAUACAAAUUUUUACCCACUAGGGGUAUUUUCGUAAUUUGUUAUCGGGACUGAUAAUUUGCACCACACUGAGGGACAUUAAGUCAAUUUGGGUGCAAUUGAGGUAUAGAAACUGAAAAAAAUUAAUUUGGAGUUUAAACGGACGCGUAUAUCAAUUUAUCGGGUAAAAGACCGAAAUAGGCUAACACCGCAUUUAGGCAAAAAUUUAGACAUUUUUGCAUUCCAUAUCAAGCAUUAGUAGUCUAAAUUAGUUUAAUUUCAAUUUAGUACCAAUGUGGUGAAUUUCUCGAUUUUGUACUGUGUCAAGGUGGUGAGUCCUCUGAUAAAGGCAAGGGAAUUGCACCCGAGGACCAAUAGUCUGAGUAUUUCGAAAAUCCUCACUCUAGACACGGUGAGUAACCUUACCAUCAUUUUAAUUAUCUAAAGUAUGUUUUUAUUCGGUUUUGGUGAAUUUUAUGAAAAUGAGUUCAAAUGGUAAAUUUUUAUGUUUUGUAAACAAAAUGAGUUUAAAUGAAAAUAUUUUAUAAAUUGUCUUGAAACGAAAUAACGAUUUUGAAAAUAGAGUAAUUGGAGACCACUGAUAUGUUGUAAAUUUAAAAUUGAAUUAAUGGCUUAUGUUAUUGUAUUGGCAUGACUGGCUGGGCUGUGUUUUUUAUGAAUUGUAUGAAUUGCUUUAUUUUACCCUUGCAGGCUGGGUAGUAAUAUAUUAGCCCUGUCAUGCUGUCAAAAUUUUAUUGUAUGGUGGGUUUGACCUGCUGCAGUGGGCUGGAUUCUGUGGACUAGCCUAUUAGAGGGGCACGGAAUCCUGUUAUAUUUUUACCUCGGUUGGAGAGGCGAGUAGGGUAACUCCUGAGGUAUAACUUUUAGAGUUCACUUCACGCCAAACCACCUCGUGAAGGGGAACUCGGCCAACGUCAAGGAAUGGCUAUGUUUUCAAAAUAAAAACAUGACUUUCUAAUAGCCUUGGCGGACUCAGUUGGGAUAGCCCUCGGCCAAGGUAUCCCAAAUAACUGAGUAUGAUAAUAAUUUUUGGCAUGAGCCAAGCUUUUUAAGAAAUUCAUAAGCCAUACUGAUUACUUGCUUUAAAUAAAUUGAUUUCAUUUGGUUGAAAUAAGUUGAAAGAUGAUAAAUUACAGUUUGAUGAAAUGUUUUAAUAGUCUCCUUUUACUCGACUUUAGAUAUUUUGAGUGAUGUUUGUUUACUCACUGGGAUUUUAUAAUCUCACCACCCUCAUUUCCACCCAUUUCAGGUUCAGAAUAGAUUGUAGAUAACUGAUAUCGGCAAGGAUUACAGUUGAACUUGCCACAUCCAAAGACUGUAGGUUCAUUUCUUUUGAUACUUUUGGUCAUUCGUGGGCCCACGUGUCACUGUAAAUUAAAUUCUAUACUUUGGUUAUCUGUAUUACGGUAUGUAAGAAUUUAUUUUGCUUUUACGCUAUAAAAAUUAUUUAUGCAGUGUUCUUAAAAUAUCGUUUUAUGUGAAAAUUGAAUAUUUUAUUUAAUAUUUUUAUUUUAUUAUAACAGUCAUAAUUCCAUUUUAAACGAAUGUUUUAGACAUCCAAAAUUAUUUUUGAUUAUAAAAUAUGUGUUUUCCACUUACAUGCUAUAUUUUUAGAUGAUUUUGAGAUUUUUGGGAUAAAUGACCAAAAUACCCCUGUGAGACGAAAAUUAUUUUUUUAUUAUUAUUUUAUUUUUUUAAGUUGGAAACAGUUUAAAAUCUUUUAGAAUGUGGUAUUUGAAAAUAGUUACCCAUAGGGGAAAUGAGAAGCUGAUAUUAAAGCCUUGCGGGGUUCCGGUUGACAUUCCGGGUAAUGAAUGUCAAUCAAGACGUCGCGGCGGUUGUCACGGGUUCGAUGAGAGUUUCGGGUCGUGACAUAAUGAGAUGCAUUACUUUAGUUACCUAUUCUAUUCUUAUUAAUGGUAGACCAGGGAACAAGUUUACACCUUCAAAGGGGUUGCGGUAGGGUGAUCCACUCUCGCCUUUCUUAUUUGUUAUAGUAAUGGAAGCUCUCUCCAAUUCAUUAAUGAAUGCAACAGUUAACAGGAGUGUCUCUGGAAUCAAAGUUUGCAGAAGAAGCCCGAUUGUUACCCAUUUGUUUUUCGCAAAUGACAGUAUGAUCUUUGGGAAAGCCGAAGGCCUGGAAGCUCGAGUUCUUAAGGAGAUCUUUGACAGAUAUGAAGCUUUUUCUGGUCAAAAAAUUAACUUUUAGAAAUCUGCUGUGUUGUUCAGUAAAAAUACUAGUGAUUAUGAGAGGGCAGAAAUUUGUCGAAUCCUGGGAAUCAAUAGUGGCAAUUGGGGUGAAACAUAUCUUCGCAUGCCAUUGGUUAGUGGGUGUUCCAAGUGACAAAUCUUUAGCAACGUGAAGGAAAAGGUGUUGAAGAAAAUCUCAAAUUGGAAGAACAAGUUGCUUUCCAUUACUGGGCGUGAAGUGUUGAUCAAAGCGGUGACUCAGGCGAUUUCUACCUAUGUGACGAGUUGCUUCAAAUUGCCUAACUCUUUAUGUAGUGAGAUAGAUUCGCCAAUUGCAAAAUUUUGGGGGGGUGGUACAGAAAAUGCAGCAAAAAUUCACUGAAAAAGUUGGAAUUCUAUGUGUAUCUCAAAACACUAUGAUGGUAUGGGGUUUCGAGAUACAAAGAAAUUCAAUUUGACUAUGCUAGCAAAACAAGGUUGGCGGUUGCAGAAAAAGGUACCUACCCCUGCUUAUAAAAUCCUUAAGGCACGUUAUUUUUCUCAUGUUGAUUUUAUGGAUCCUCCAACAGAAUCCAAUCCUAGUUAUCUCUAGCUUAGUAUCAGGGAGAGUCAAUUUGUCCAUCAAAAAGGAUUAAUUUGGCGAGUAGGGGGUGACAAUAAUAUCAUGGUGCAUGCUGACAAAUGGAUAAUACCAUAUGAGACUCCUAGGAAUGUGGUAGCUUGUAAUGAUGAGGUUGGCGAUAACAUGGCUGCGGGUGAAUUAAUUGAUGCGGAUACGAUGACUUGGAACGAAGAGAUAUUGAGUUUGUAUUUUCCACUAUAUGAGUGAAACCUUAUAUUAUCCAUAGUGCUUAGCUUUAGAAGGUUAAAUGAUUACCAAAUUUGGUUUAGCAAUAAAUAUGGUGAGUAUACGAUGAAAUCGGGGAAUUGGAUGCUAAGCUUUUCUAUGGGAAAUCCAGGGGUGGGUAGCUCAUCAUCAAGUAUACAAGGAAUUUGGAAAAAAUUGUGGACGCUAGGCGUUCUGCGGAAAUUAAUUUCGUUUGCAUGGAGAAUGUUUAAGGAAGCUCUCAUACAAAGAAGGAUUAAUGUGGAACCUUGCUGUGCGUUUUCUGGAGUGGAACUAGAAACUCUUUUCCAUUGUGUUGGCACUUGUCAAUUUGCUCGGGCUAUCUGGGUAUUGUCAAAGUGGGACUUUCGUGAUUUAUGCUAUCACUUUGGGUCAAUUAUAGAAUUUUAUCAAAUGGUCUGUGAUCAGUUCAACAAAGAAAAUGUUGAAGAGGUUGUGGGAAUUUUGUGGGCUAUAUGGAAGGCUAGAAACGCGCUCUUAUUCAAACAACAAAAUAUGGAUCCAGUGAUGGUGGUAGAGAUAGGCAUGGAUAUAGUGCGGGCAAUAUCAAUUAGCUAACACCUAUUCGACAAGGAGUUAUGGUUUGGAGAGAAGAAGAUUUUGUAUAUGGGCUCAUCUCAAUGGUUUGAAGAUCAAUUCAGAUGCUGCAAUUUUUGAAAUAAAUGGCAUGAAAAUGGUGAGUGCCGAUUUCAUGGUUAGAAGUGAAGCAGGGACGAUGCGAUUAGCUGGGGUUAAAAAAUUCAGGCAUGGAUCCUCAGUCGUUGAAGCUGAAUUGUAUGCAUUAGCUGGUCUUUAUAUACUGUCAAGAGAACCUAGCUGUAAAGGAGGUAGAGCUGGACAAUAGUGUGGUUGUUGGCUGGCUAGAGAAGAAUUACGAAGGUGGUGCGGGGAACAUUGUUGAGGACUGCUACAUGCUCAUGGAGCAACUAAGGUGUAUUGGUGCAUCGCAUUGUACAAGGGAAACUAAUCGAUCUACUCAUUCAGUUGCCCAAUUGGGAAAGAUGUUGCAGCAUGAGAAUGAUUACCUUAUAUGGACAAGUUUGGAGGCUUUGCCAUCUAAGUAUCUUAAGACAAGAUUGGAUCGGGUUACAGGAAGCAGAAGAUGGGUAAUGAUUGUAAAGCUUUGAGAUUAUAGAAAUACAUGUUUUUUAGAGUACUCUUUUCCUUAUCCUUUGGUUUUCCGUUGGGUUUUUCUUUGGAAAGGUUUUUAAUGAGGCUCUAAAUUCAUGUAUAAUGGUCAUAACGAAAUUUAUAGGGUGGAGAGAUUUUAUAUUGUUAUAUUGGUUAUUCUUUAAAUGUACUAACUCUUGAUGAUAAAUGAAAAUUAUCUUUCUUCACAAAAUACUAAAGACUUUUUUGUGAAACAAGGGAUUUUUCAGGAAAAUUCUGUUUUUUUUUUUUCUACUGCUGGCUUAGACUAAAUUAGGGAUGAUGAAGUGACAAAAAAAAAUUGUUUUCUGCUUAAUAAUUUAGAAUUUUAUUGAAUGAAUCUUAAGUCAACCAAAUUCUUUUUAACUAAAGUGAAAAAAUUUUUACUAUAAAAGGAUAAUUAAAAUGAUUGCCUCUUAAAAUUUCAAUAUUUUGAACUUAUAUGGAAAGCCUAUUCAAGUUUAUAGAAAAUUUAUAAAUCAAAAUUUCUUCAGAAAGUAAUAAUGUACAGUAACAAAUAUUUUAUAAGAUCCUUUUGCAUUCUCACUUUAUUUUUCGAUAAAUUAUAAAAUUAUAAGGAGAAUAUUUUUUUUCAUUCAUCUUUUUAUUUGAUCUAAUUCUUUUCUCUCAAUUUCAUUUAUUUUUUUAUGUAUAAUAUUUAACAAAAAAUAAUUUGAUAUAUUCUUUUACUUUAAAACUUAUGAUUUGGUGAACAUAAUUAUACGAAAUAGUUUUUUACAUUACAUCCGACAAUACUUUUACAUUAAGUUUGCCAAACACUAUACAUCUUAGUUCCCUUUACAACACUUUUAAAAUAACUUUACUCGAACAGCACUUUUUACAACAGUUCUAACCCAACUAAAGUACUGACAAUGAAAAUGUGGGCAGCAACUUGUAGCGCACAAUCAAUCCAUCAUGCUUUAAAUGCAUUUAAAGGAUGAGGAAAAUGUCUUCAAUGCUCUCCUAAUUUUAGGUGAAAGUAAUGAGAGGCAGUAAAUUUAUUCAGGAAAGGAGUGCAAAAGUAGUUGGUAGUUGGAAGAUAAAGAAAAUUUAUUAUAAAUAUCCAGAUUAAAUGUGGAAUACCUUGGUUUAGUAUUCGACAUGGAAUAUAUCAUUAUUUAUAUUCUGCUGUCGACAUAUUUGCCUUUACUGAUGAUAACAUCUUUGACUGACCAUUGACGAAAAAUUUUGUUGCUAUUUUCAUCAAUAAUUUUUUUACCAACAAGAUCAUCAAUUUUAUUGAUGAAAAUUUUAAUUGGUAAUACUUCUUUUUUUUUUUGUAGUGAAUACGAUAUAUAAGAAAUAACUUAUAAACUAUUUAUGGAAUUUUUAAAUUUUAUGAAUGAAAUUAAAUGGCUUUUACAUGUCCCUAUAGGUUAUGUAAUAAUUAAAUAGACAUGUGACAAUGGUCUAACUCCACUUGUAAAGUUUACAAAACCCAUCACUUGUGUAUAGAACAAUAGUCCAUGUAUGUAUUGGUCUCUUUAUAUUUUAUAUCUCAAAUUUUAAAAUUCUAAAAUUUUCAUUAAUUAUGAAAUUAAUUUUAAUUUUAUGAUCUUAUAUAUGAAGAAAAAACUUUUUGACACAUUAACUAAAAAUUGCUAAGAAUAUCAAAAGGAAUUUUUUUUUGUAUGAUUUAUAAAUCUAGACAACCAAUCUAUAUUUGUAUAGAGUUAAGAUUGUUCACUCCUUAGAGAGUUAACUGAUCAAGGAAGAGGAAGAUUUUAAUACAUUGAACCCCAAUAGUUGUUUUGGUUAAUAUUGUUUCUAUUGUCAAAUCAUUUGUUAAGAAUCAAAUACAUUUUUGAAUUUUAAAUUUAUGUUUCGGUAGAUCUUAGAUUAGUAUAAAUUAAUUAUAUGUAAACAAAUAACUCUUUAAGCUUUUAAAUUUAGUUUUGAGUCCCAUCUUAUAUGAGUUUAGUUGAACAUUGUAUUAAUUUGUUGAUCUAUUUAGUUUUGUUCAUUGAUUUUUUAUAUUGGAUUAUAAUUGUAAAUGUCAUAUACAAAAACAUGGUUGUGAAUUUGCAGCUUGUUUUUUUGAAGAAAAAGAAGAUAUGUUAGUCACUAGACCUUACACGAAUGCCAAUAAAGUCAUGUAUAUGCCCAAAAUGUGACGUGUAUUUAAUGCUAAUAAAGUCAUAGCAAACAGUUAGUUUCUAGACCUUAUCUUAGAUGCCACUCAAGACAUUUUGUUGAUUGAGAAAUCUGUACUAAAUUAAUUAUAAGGAGGACCUACUACACUUCAAUUAUGUGACAUCCUUAUUAGCGUGGAAAUUUAGAGCACCAAACAUUUAGGUUGCUUGAUAACUUCAUGUUAUCCAAUUGUACUUUUUAAGCCAUUGCUUUUUUUUUUUUGAAGGUUGUUGUUCAUUAAAAAGCAGAGAGAGCCAGAGGAGCUCCUCUGGGAAAAGUACAAAAUGAAUAAGGUCUGUUACUCACCUAUUUGGGGUGUAACAGACCUUGGUCAUCACAUACCCAAUCACCAUGCCUGGAUACAAGAAAAGCUCAAGCAUACAAGCCAACAAUACCCUUCCCAGAAACAUAACAUCACCCCUACCUAAGCCCUUCCAAACGUCAAACAAAAGAAAAUCCCAGCACCCUGAGAACAAAAAGAGCAGGGUUAAAAACUGUUCACACCCUUCGAAGUCCACACCUACCUAACAACCAUACAAAACAAGGAGGGAAGCCAUUGCUGUUAUAACUAAGAAGAAUAAAGAUAAAGAAAAUAGCAUUGCUCAGACUUUUUAAUUUCUGUUUUUCCCAUUUUAUAUGGUUAAUUUAGCCAGAUCAAACAACAACCAUUUACCUUUAUUUUGACAAUGCAUAAUGAUAUGGCAGUCUAUUGACGAGCCUAUCCAUUUGCAUAGGUUACUACAACACUACUAAUAAACUGUUGAAAACAACAAGUAGCAAUAUUUACAAUUAUGACAACUCAACAAUCUCAUGAAAAGAUACAUAGAUCAUAACCUUAAAAUAUUCGUUCUCCCCUCCCUUUUGCCAACAAUUUGCUUAGAGCUAUGACCACCUUCAACCAAGGUUAC
rnacentral:lncRNA from 1 species